rnacentral:rRNA from 1 species
GUUAAUAAGGGCGCACGGUGGAUGCCUUGGCACUAGAAGCCGAAGAAGGACGUGACUAACGACGAAAUGCUUUGGGGAGCUGUAAGUAAGCGCUGAUCCAGAGAUGUCCGAAUGGGGGAACCCACUAGUUAAUGACUAGUAUCCAUAUCUGUUAAGGAUAUGAGAAGGAAGACGCAGUGAACUGAAACAUCUAAGUAGCUGCAGGAAGAGAAAGCAAAAGCGAUUGCCUUAGUAGCGGCGAGCGAAACGGCAGGAGGGCAAACCGAAGUGUUUACACUUCGGGGUUGUAGGACUGCGAUAUAGGAUUAAUCAUUAUAGAAGAAUUACCUGGGAAGGUAAGCCAAAGAGAGUAACAGCCUCGUAUUUAAAAUGAUAGAUUAACCUUAGCAGUAUCCUGAGUACGGCGAGACACGCGAAAUCUCGUCGGAAUCUGGGAGGACCAUCUCCCAACCCUAAAUACUCUCUAGUGACCGAUAGUGAACCAGUACCGUGAGGGAAAGGUGAAAAGCACCCCGGGAGGGGAGUGAAAUAGAACCUGAAACCGUGUGCCUACAACAAGUUCGAGCCCGUUAAUGGGUGAGAGCGUGCCUUUUGUAGAAUGAACCGGCGAGUUACGAUAUGAUGCGAGGUUAAGUUGAAGAGACGGAGCCGUAGGGAAACCGAGUCUUAAUAGGGCGCCAUAGUAUCAUGUUGUAGACCCGAAACCAUGUGACCUACCCAUGAGCAGGUUGAAGGUGAGGUAAAACUCACUGGAGGACCGAACCAGGGCACGUUGAAAAGUGCUUGGAUGACUUGUGGGUAGCGGAGAAAUUCCAAACGAACUUGGAGAUAGCUGGUUCUCUCCGAAAUAGCUUUAGGGCUAGCGUCGAUGUUAAGUCUCUUGGAGGUAGAGCACUGUUUGGGUGAGGGGUCCAUCCCGGAUUACCAAUCUCAGAUAAACUCCGAAUGCCAACGAGAUAUAAUCGGCAGUCAGACUGCGAGUGCUAAGAUCCGUAGUCGAAAGGGAAACAGCCCAGACCACCAGCUAAGGUCCCAAAAUAUAUGUUAAGUGGAAAAGGAUGUGGGGUUGCACAGACAACUAGGAUGUUAGCUUAGAAGCAGCUAUUCAUUCAAAGAGUGCGUAAUAGCUCACUAGUCGAGUGACCCUGCGCCGAAAAUGUACCGGGGCUAAAACAUAUUACCGAAGCUGUGGAUGACACAAAAGUGUCAUGGUAGGAGAGCGUUCUAUGUGUGAAGAAGGUGUACCGUGAGGAGCGCUGGAACGCAUAGAAGUGAGAAUGCCGGUAUGAGUAGCGCAAGACAGGUGAGAAUCCUGUCCACCGUAAGACUAAGGUUUCCAGGGGAAGGCUCGUCCGCCCUGGGUUAGUCGGGACCUAAGGAGAGACCGAAAGGUGUAUCCGAUGGACAACAGGUUGAUAUUCCUGUACUAGAGUAUAUAGUGAUGGAGGGACGCAGUAGGCUAACUAAACCAGACGAUUGGAAGUGUCUGGU